rnacentral:rRNA from 1 species
AUUGAACGCUGGCGGCAUGCUUUACACAUGCAAGUCGGACGGCAGCACAGAGAAGCUUGCUUCUUGGGUGGCGAGUGGCGAACGGGUGAGUAACAUAUCGGAACGUACCGAGCAGUGGGGGAUAACUAAUCGAAAGAUUAGCUAAUACCGCAUAUUUUCUGAGGAAGGAAGCAGGGGACCAUUUGGCCUUGCGCUGUUUGAGCGGCCGAUAUCUGAUUAGCUAGUUGGUGGGGUAAAGGCCUACCAAGGCGACGAUCAGUAGCGGGUCUGAGAGGAUGAUCCGCCACACUGGGACUGAGACACGGCCCAGACUCCUACGGGAGGCAGCAGUGGGGAAUUUUGGACAAUGGGCGCAAGCCUGAUCCAGCCAUGCCGCGUGUCUGAAGAAGGCCCUCGGGUUGUAAAGGACUUUUGUCAGGGAAGAAAAGGACAGGGUUAAUAC